rnacentral:rRNA from 1 species
GAUGAACGCUGGCGGCGUGCCUAAUACAUGCAAGUCGAGCGAACAGACGAGGAGCUUGCUCCUCUGACGUUAGCGGCGGACGGGUGAGUAACACGUGGAUACCCUACCUAUAAGACUGGGAUAACUUCGGGACACCGGAGCAAAUACCGGAUAAUAUAUUGAACCGCUUGGUUCAAUAGUGAAAGACGGUUUUGCUGUCACUUAUAGCUGGAUCCGCGCCGCAUUAGCUAGUUGGUACGGUAACGGCUUACCAAGGCAACGAUGCGUAGCCGACCUGAGAGGGGGAUCGGCCACACUGGAACUGAGAGACGGUCCAGACACCUACGGGAGGCAGCGGUAGGUAAUCUUCCGCAAUGGGCGAAAGCUUGACGGAGCAACGCCGCGUAGUGAUGAAGGUCUUCGGAUCGUAAAACUCUGUUAUUAGGGAAGAACAAAUGUGGAAGUAACUAUGCACGUCUUGACGGUACCUAAUCAGAAAGCCACGGCUAACUACGUG